AGCGAACGUUAGCGGCGGGCCUAACACAUGCAAGUCGAGCGAGAAAAGGGCUUCGGCCCUGAGUACAGCGGCGGACGGGUGAGGAACACGUAGGUAAUCUGCCCUUUAGUGGAGGACAACGGUCCGAAAGGACCGCUAAUACUGCAUACGUUCCCCGGGACUCCGGUUCCGGGGAGGAAAGCCUCGCAAGGGGCGCUGAAGGAGGAGCCUGCGUCGCAUCAGCUAGUUGGUGGGGUAACGGCCUACCAAGGCGAAGACGCGUAGCUGGUCUGGGAGGAUGAUCAGCCACACUGGGACUGAGACACGGCCCAGACUCCUACGGGAGGCAGCAGUGGGGAAUAUUGGACAAUGGGGGCAACCCUGAUCCAGCCACGCCGCGUGAGUGAUGAAGGCCUUCGGGUCGUAAAGCUCUGUGGGGAGGGACGAACGUCCCCGUGAAGAACGGGGGGUGACGGUACCUCCUUAGCAAGCACCGGCUAACUUCGUGCCAGCCGCCGCAGUAACAC
rnacentral:rRNA from 1 species